rnacentral:rRNA from 1 species
GAUGAACGCUGGCGGCGUGCCUAAUACAUGCAAGUCGAGCGAACAGAUAAGGAGCUUGCUCCUUUGACGUUAGCGGCGGACGGGUGAGUUACACGUGGAUAACCUACCUAUAAGACUGGGAUAACUUCGGGAAACCGGAGCUAAUACCGGAUAACAUAUUGAACCGCAUGGUUCAAUAGUGAAAGGCGGCUUUGCUGUCACUUAUAGAUGGAUCCGCGCCGUAUUAGCUAGUUGGUAAGGUAACGGCUUACCAAGGCAACGAUACGUAGCCGACCUGAGAGGGUGAUCGGCCACACUGGAACUGAGACACGGUCCAGACUCCUACGGGAGGCAGCAGUAGGGAAUCUUCCGCAAUGGGCGAAAGCCUGACGGAGCAACGCCGCGUGAGUGAUGAAGGUCUUCGGAUCGUAAAACUCUGUUAUCAGGGAAGAACAAAUGUAUAAGUAACUGUGCACAUCUUGACGGUACCUGAUCAGAAAGCCACGGCUAACUACGUG